GACCUCUCCACUAUGAAAGGGCAUGAGCUCUCAGCUAACCACGUAGCUAUUGAUUGUGUCGGGCUGGUCUUCUAGAGUCCGCUCCUCAUGCUUCUUGAACCAGAAAGAGAACUCGGGAGUUUCCGGGAGAGUGGUUAGAACCCUGGACUCAUUAGUGCAGCUGCAGGAUUGGAGAGAAGCUUCACGAGAUUGUUUCCAGGUGGUAAGAAAUGAAGACGUCUCCAAUGCAUAGCUGGGACGGAAGGAGACUGACUCGUUUCGCUGGUAAAACAUAAUCUCUCUUUGAAGCCAGACUACAGCUAUCUACUCAGGUAGAUUAUUGGAGCAGAGAAAGGUUUUUAGUCAGUCCAAGCACUUGAAUAUCUGCACAAUAUAAGUUUGGGAGGUUUAUGCUUCUUUGUGUGUGUGUGCUCGCAUGUGUGUGGUGUGUUUACUUUUUCAUUUUCUCAUUUCGAAUCUUCAUUUAGAAAACUGCAGCCAGAUUCAACAGUGCUCAGAAGAAUAAAACUUAAAUUAUUUUUGUCCUUUCUCAGUCAAAAGUUUUAAAGAAGGAAGACUACCUCCAAAGAACAAGGAAUGCAGUACCAGUGCCCGUUUUUAUGAGUGAAUCUCAAGUGGAAGGUGACAGACAGCAGAACAAACACUAUAAAGCAUAGUGGCUAAGAAGACAAGCUUUGGAAUCCAGCAGGGCAGCAUUCAAAUUCGGCUUCUCUCAUUUAUUCCCUGGGACGACUCCUCCGCAGUGGACACUUGCAGCAGCAAAAAUGCUUCAGAAACAUGGGGAAGUUAUUCAGGAGCAAUCUUCAACCAGUGAAAAAAAUGUCUGAAUGCAUGAGAAAGCGUGGACUCAAGCAAGAAUUUCAGCUCCAGGGACGAGAAAGCUAAAAGAACUACCGAGGAGUAUAAAAGUCAAAAGAAAUCUCAACUUUUAAUGAUUGGAAGCACUUAUGGAAUAAAAAGAAAAAUCAAAUUAAGGAAGUUAUUUGC
rnacentral:lncRNA from 1 species